CCGUGCAUUUACAAUGCAGUUGCUUUUAUAGUAUUUUUUUCUUUUGAAAUGGAUGCUUCAUUAGCAUGGUUCUAAACACCGGACUGAGGGGUUUGGAUUCUUAAAAACAGCUAAUAGCAGGUUAAAUGAGGCUAUAGUGGGGAUAUAUACCUAUAGGGGGCUAUGGCAGCAGCUAUAGCGGGAGAUAAAACCUUGUUCAUUAUUAGAUGAUGCGAUUGCAUUUACCAGUGAGAUGGAAUUUGGUUUGAGGGUUUAAGGUUCAGUAUAGUCCAUCAGGGAGUUGGUUAAGUCACAUAAGACCACUGACAGACUGCCUGAAAGCAAAUAAGGAUCUGGGCCUGGGAUGGGCUAUGGAAAUGUCCCAGAUCUUUAAAAAAUGCUCGCAUGCCUGCAGUCCAUCAUCAUCUUCAUUGCUGGGCUCAUCGUCGGCGUACGUAGACCAUUUUAGGCUGUUUUCAACAUUCUUCUUUCAUUGUCUUUUAGUCUCCGAGUUCUCUAGUUGUGUUUUGGUAGAUGAACAACGUAAGAAAUUUUUUAUUUCUAUAUAAGAUGAAAUUUCGCUUGAAUUCUGCAAACCACGAGAUGGUAAUAAUGCACGUCUACAAGAAAAAUUUAAAGAUUGAAGCAAGAUGUGUGAUGCCAAAGAGCAGAGAACGCCGGCACCUGUUGUGCUCCUCCAUCUGAGCCUAUUGAGAGCGCCGCUGGUGGUGCGUGGAGUCCGACUCGAAUAGGUGUGAACCCCUACCCUAAUAACAUAACCACGGACCGAUCUCUUGUGAGAGGAGGAGAGGAGAAGUUAAAACCGGCCGCCGGAAUCCAUAGCUACCUUGGAGAUGGAUGGUGACCAAGACCAAGACGAGAGGGGGUUCAGCACGGCGGUUCCGGCGUCCUGCGGCGAGGAGGGACCUGCCAAGACGGAGGAGGGGAAGGUAGCGGCGGCCGAGAAGAAGACGACGACGACGAAGAAGAAGGUGAUCAAGACGAUACCUCCAGAUCACGUCGAGUUCGUCCUGGCCAUGAAGCCCAGGCCGGUGUCCAGGUUGCCGCCGGGGUUGAAGAUCUCCGAGGAGUGCCGCCGCCAGUCUGCCAGGGUGAACUUAACGAUCUCAUCAGGUCCAGCAACGAGCUCGUGCGCAGCACCCAGGACAGGUACCGCCAUGACCUCGCCACCAAGGGAUGCAUCCAGGUCGAGGUUGAGGUCACCGACGACGAAGCGUGAACAUUGUGGAUUGGAUGAGAACUGAUCGACCUGAAUGCUCAAUUAUUUUUCGUAUUUGGGGUUUGUAUAGUUUGCACGUUUGGCUUAAUUAGAUCGAAUACAAGUGUUUGACGUGUCCUUACCAGCCCAGGCGAGCAAGAUUCGCUCUCACACAUCAGCGAGGUGAUAACCUUGCCAGCGUGCUCCAAGUCUCCAAGUCAAGCUUAAAUUCCUGUCCUCC
rnacentral:lncRNA from 1 species